rnacentral:rRNA from 1 species
CGGGACGGGUGAGUAACGCGUGGGUAACCUGCCUCGUACAGGGGGUAACAGUUAGAAAUGACUGCUAAUACCGCAUAAGCGCACAGUGCUGCAUGGCACAGUGUGAAAACUCCGGUGGUAUGAGAUGGACCCGCGUCUGAUUAGCUAGUUGGUGGGGUAACGGCCUACCAAGGCGACGAUCAGUAGCCGGCCUGAGAGGGUGAACGGCCACAUUGGGACUGAGACACGGCCCAA